UACGAGGGGGGCAAGCGUUGUUCGGAAUUAUUGGGCGUAAAGGGCGCGUAGGCGGUUUGACAAGUCUGAUGUGAAAUCUCUGGGCUCAACCCAGAGUCUGCAUUAGAAACUGUCGGGCUUGAGUAUGGGAGAGGUGAGUGGAAUUUCCGGUGUAGCGGUGAAAUGCGUAGAUAUCGGAAGGAACACCUGUGGCGAAAGCGGCUCACUGGACCAUAACUGACGCUGAGGCGCGAAAGCUAGGGGAGCAAGCAGG
rnacentral:rRNA from 1 species